GAUGAACGCUGGCGGCGUGCCUAAUACAUGCAAGUCGAGCGAAGAGACGAGGAGCUUGCUCCUCUGACGUUAGCGGCGGACGGGUGAGUAACACGUGGAUAACCUACCUAUAAGACUGGGAUAACUUCGGGAAACCGGAGCUAAUACCGGAUAAUAUAUUGAACCGCAGGGUUCAAUAGUGAAAGACGGUUUUGCUGUCAUUGAUAGAUGGAUCCGCGCCGCAUUAGCUAGUUGGUAAGGUAACGGCUUACCAAGGCAACGAUGCGUAGCCGACCUGAGAGGGUGAUCGGCCACCCUGGAACUGAGACACGGUCCAGACUCCUACGGGAGGCCGCAGUAGGCAAUCUUCCGCAAUGGGCGAAAGCCUGACGGAGCAACCCCGCGUGAGUGAUGAAGGUCUUCGGAUCGUAAAACUCUGUUAUUAGGGAAGAACAAAUGUGUAAGUAACUAUGCACGUCUUGACGGUACCUAAUCAGAAAGCCACGGCUAACUACGUG
rnacentral:rRNA from 1 species